CCAAUAGCGUAUAUUAAAGUUGUUGCAGUUAAAAAGCUCGUAGUUGAAUUUCGGGAUCAAUAUGUUGGUCGUGCCUUGGUACGUACUGGCGUCAUUGGUUUCUACCUUCUGAAGAACCUCGAUGUCAUUAAUUUGGUGUCUUGGGGAAUCAGGACUGUUACUUUGAAAAAAUUAGAGUGUUUAAAGCAAGCUCACGCUUGAAUACAUUAGCAUGGAAUAAUGAAAUAGGACGUUUGAUUCUAUUUUGUUGGUUUCUAGGAUCGACGUAAUGAUUAAUAGGGAUAGUUGGGUGCAUUAGUAUUCAAUUGUCAGAGGUGAAAUUCUUGGAUUUAUUGAAGACUAACUACUGCGAAAGCAUUUGCCAAGGAUGUUUUCAUUAAUCAAAACCGAAAGUUAGGGGAUCGAAGACGAUCAGAUACCGUCGUAGUCUUAACCAUAAACUAUGCCGACUAGGGAUCGGAUGAUGUUAAUUUUUUAAUGACUCAUUCGGCGCCUUACG
rnacentral:rRNA from 1 species